rnacentral:rRNA from 1 species
CCUACGGGAGGCAGCAGUGAGGAAUAUUGGUCAAUGGGCGCGAGCCUGAACCAGCUAAUUCACGUGAGGGAAGACGGCCCUAUGGAUUGUAAACCUCUUUUGUCGGGGAGCAAAAGACGCUACUCGUGGCGUUCCGAGAUUACCCGACGGUAAAGCAUCGGAUAACUCCGUUCCAGCCGCCGCAGUAAUACGAGGGAUGCGAGCGUUACCUGGAUUUAUGGGGUUUAAAGGGUGGGAGGGCGGAAGAUAAGGUCAGCGGGAAAAUUGAGAGGCUAAACCUCUACGGGCCGUUGAAACUGGUAGUCUAGAGUGAGUGAGAGGGAUGCGGAAGUCGUGGUGUAGCAGUGAAAUGCAUAGAUAUUACGCAGAACUCCGAUUGCGAAGGCAGCAUACCGGCGCUCAACUGACGCUCAUGCACGAAAGUGUGGGUAUCGAACAGGAUUAGAUACCCGAGUAGUC